CCUACGGGAGACUGCAGUGAGGACUAUUGGUCAAUGGACGCAAGUCUGAACCAGCCAUGCCGCGUGCAGGAAGACGCCUCCAUGAGUUGUAAACUGCUUUUGUACGAGGGUAAACGCAGAUACGCGUAUCUGUCUGAAAGUAUCGUACGAAUAAGGAUCGGCUAACUCCGUGCCAGCAGCCGCGGUAAUACGGAGGUUUCAAGCGUUAUCCGGAUUUAUUGGGUUAAAAGGGUUCGUAGGCGGACGGAUAAGUAGGGGUGAAAGCCCGAGGCUCAACUUCGGAAUUGCCGCUGAUACUGUUCGGCUAGAGAGUAGUUGCGGUAGGCGGAAUGUAUGGUGUAGCGGUGAAAUGCUUAGAGAUCAUACAGAACACCGAUUGCGAAGGCAGCUUACCGAGCUACUUUUGACGUUGAGGCACGAAAGCGUGGGGAGCAAACAGGAUUAGAUACCCUUGUAGUC
rnacentral:rRNA from 1 species